GACAGAGGGGGCAAGCGUUGCUCGGAAUUACUGGGCGUAAAGGGCGCGUAGGCGGGAUGGCAAGUCGGUCGUGAAAUCCCUCGGCUCAACUGAGGAUCGUCGAUCGAUACUGCCGUUCUUGAGGAUUGCAGAGGAGACUGGAAUUCCCGGUGUAGCGGUGAAAUGUGUAGAUAUCUGGAGGAAUACCGGUGGCGAAGGCGGCAUCCUGGACCGACAUUGACGCUGAUGAGCGAAAGCUAGGGGAGCAAACGGG
rnacentral:rRNA from 1 species